GACGAACGCUGGCGGCGUGCUUAACACAUGCAAGUCGAGCGGUAAGGCCCUUUCGGGGGUACACGAGCGGCGAACGGGUGAGUAACACGUGGGUGACCUGCCUUUAGCUCUGGGAUAAGCCUGGGAAACUGGGUCUAAUACCGGAUAUGACCCUAUGGCGCAUGUUGUGGGGUGGAAAGCCUUGUGCGGCUAGGGAUGGGCCCGCGGCCUAUCAGCUUGUUGGUGGGGUGAUGGCCACCAAGGCGACGACGGGUAGCCGGCCUGAGAGGGCGACCGGCCACACUGGGACUGAGACACGGCCCAGACUCCUACGGGAGGCAGCAGUGGGGAAUCUUGCGCAAUGGGCGAAAGCCUGACCCAGCAACGCCGCGUGAAGGAUGAAGUAUUUCGGUAUGUAAACUUCGAAAGAAUGGGAAGAAUCAAUGACGGUACCAUUUAUAAGGUCCGGCUAACUACGUGCCAGCAGCCGC
rnacentral:rRNA from 1 species